ACUUGGGCCAUUGGGAUAGCUCAGUUGGUAGAAGAUGGGACUUAAUCUCAGGGUUGUGGGUUUGAGCCCCAUGUUGAGUA